AUUGAACGCUGGCGGCAUGCCUUACACAUGCAAGUCGAACGGUAACAGGGAGCUUGCUCCGCUGACGAGUGGCGAACGGGUGAGUAAUGCGUCGGAACGUGCCGAGUAGUGGGGGAUAACGCAGCGAAAGUUGUGCUAAUACCGCAUACGUACUGAGGUAGAAAGUGGGGGACCUUCGGGCCUCACGCUAUUCGAGCGGCCGACGUCUGAUUAGCUAGUAGGUGAGGUAAAGGCUCACCUAGGCGACGAUCAGUAGCGGGUCUGAGAGGAUGAUCCGCCACACUGGGACUGGGACACGGGCCAGACUCCUACGGGAGGCAGCAGUGGGGAAUUUUGGACAAUGGGCGAAAGCCUGAUCCAGCCAUGCCGCGUGUCUGAAGAAGGCCUUCGGGUUGUAAAGGACUUUUGUCGGGGAGGAAAUCCCCAGCGCUAAUACCGCUGGGGGAUGACAGUACCUGAAGAAUAAGCACCGGCUAACUACGUGCCAGCAGCCGCGGUAAAAC
rnacentral:rRNA from 1 species